rnacentral:rRNA from 1 species
CACGUAGGCACCAAGCGUUGUCCGGAUUUAUUGGGCGUAAAGAGCUCGUAGGCGGUUCGGUAAGUCGGGUGUGAAAACUUUGGGCUCAACCCAAAGCCUGCACUCGAUACUGCCGUGACUGGAGUUCGGUAGGGGAGCGGGGAAUUCCUAGUGUAGCGGUGAAAUGCGCAGAUAUCAGGAGGAACACCGGUGGCGAAGGCGGUUCUCUGGGCAUUACCUGACGCUGAGGAGCGAAAGCGUGGGGAGCGAACAGG